rnacentral:rRNA from 1 species
UACGUAGGGGGCAAGCGUUGUCCGGAUUUAUUGGGCGUAAAGAGCGUGUAGGCGGCCAUGUAGGUCCGUUGUGAAAACUCGAGGCUCAACCUCGAGACGCCGAUGGAAACCAUGUGGCUAGAGUCCGGAAGAGGAGAGUGGAAUUCCUGGUGUAGCGGUGAAAUGCGCAGAUAUCAGGAAGGACACCCGUGGCUAAGGCGGCUCUCUAGUACGGUACUGACGCUGAGACGCGAAAGCGUGGGGAGCGAACAGG